CAGCAGCCACGGUAAGACAGAGGAUGCAAGCGUUAUCCGGAAUGAUUGGGCGUAAAGCGUCUGUAGGUGGCUUUUCAAGUCCGCCGUCAAAUCCCAGGGCUCAACCCUGGACAGGCGGUGGAAACUACCAAGCUGGAGUACGGUAGGGGCAGAGGGAAUUUCCAGUGGAGCGGUGAAAUGCGUUGAGAUCGAAAAGAACACCAACAGCGAAAGCACUCUGCUGGGACGACACUGACACUAAGAGACGAAAGCUAGGGGAGCAAAUGGGAUUAGAUACCCCCGUAGUCCCUGUCUCUUAUAC
rnacentral:rRNA from 1 species